rnacentral:rRNA from 1 species
AUUUAGGUAGCGCCUCGUGAACUCAUCUUCGGGGGUAGAGCACUGUUUCGGCUAGGGGGCCAUCCCGGCUUACCAACCCGAUGCAAACUACGAAUACCGAAGAAUGUUAUCACGGGAGACACACGGCGGGUGCUAACGUCCGUCGUGAAGAGGGAAACAACCCAGACCGCCAGCUAAGGUCCCAAAGUCAUGGUUAAGUGGGAAACGAUGUGGGAAGGCACAGACAGCCAGGAUGUUGGCUUAGAAGCAGCCAUCAUUUAAAGAAAGCGUAAUAGCUCACUGGUCGAGUCGGCCUGCGCGGAAGAUGUAACGGGGCUAAACCAUGCACCGAAGCUGCGGCAGCGACACU